AAUGAGUGAGGGGCAACGAGGGGCGGUGAGACGUGGGUUGGGAGCGUUGGCGGGAUGUAGUGUGUGUAACGAGGUGGUAGGCGGGUUGUGGCGUCGGCUGUGAAAAACCGGGGCUGAGCCCCGGACGUGCAGUGGGUACGGGUAGACUAGAGUAUGGUAGGGGAGACUGGAAUUCCUGGUGUAGCGGUGAAAUGCGCAGAUAGCAGGAGGAACACCGAUGGCGAAGGCAGGUCUCUGGGCCACUACUGACGCUGAGAAGCGAAAGCAUGGGGAGCGAACAGGAUUAGAUACCCCAGUAGUC
rnacentral:rRNA from 1 species